GACGAACGCUGGCGGCGCGCCUAACACAUGCAAGUCGAACGGAGUCAAGAGGAGCUUGCUUUUCUUGACUUAGUGGCGAACGGGUGAGUAACGCGUGAGUAACCUGCCCUGGAGUGGGGGACAACAGUUGGAAACGACUGCUAAUACCGCAUAAGCCCACGGAUCCGCAUGGAUCUGCGGGAAAAGGAUUUAUUCGCUUCAGGAUGGACUCGCGUCCAAUUAGCUAGUUGGUGAGGUAACGGCCCACCAAGGCGACGAUUGGUAGCCGGACUGAGAGGUUGAACGGCCACAUUGGGACUGAGACACGGCCCAGACUCCUACGGGAGGCAGCAGUGGGGGAUAUUGCACAAUGGGGGAAACCCUGAUGCAGCGACGCCGCGUGGAGGAAGAAGGUUUUCGGAUUGUAAACUCCUGUCGUUAGGGACGAUAAUGACGGUACCUUACAAGAAAGCACCGGCUAACUACGUG
rnacentral:rRNA from 1 species